AAGCGCAGAAACUGGAACGUUCUCAACAGGCAGGGCUCCGAGCGGGGCUUUCCGCCCAGCCUUGCCUGCGGGGCCCACUCCUCGCUCCCCAAGGCUGGCCUGCGUGGGCGGCCCCCACGCUGGGGACAGGUUCUCAGGCUCCGUCCCUGCUGUGGGCUUCCCUGACACUCUGUCCAGUUCCACUUGAGGCUCCUGGGGGCUCCCCACCAAGAGGCCAGCAACAGUCAGCUUGAGACACGCUCUGCAGGGCGUUAUCCUGCCUGCUGACCUCGCCUCUCAGGCACUCACCCGCCAAAAAUUCUGGGUGCCCAACUGCUCAGGCCCAGCAGACACAGCAGUAAAUGGGCCCAGCUAGUCGAGAGAGAAGACAGAUAAGUGAGGAGACGGGGCCGGUGUCAGUUGUGACAAGUCACGUGAGGACACAGGCAGGACCACAGGAAGUGACAGCAAGCGGUGAGGGGGCGAUCUGGGGCUUACGCGAGGCUGCAGUGGGGAGGCCGUGCCGAGCCGCCAAGGGCCCUUGGGGGACCCUGCCCGAGGGGACAGUGCCUUAGCCGGCUUGAGGCCUGGCAGGUUCUGCUGGGACUUUGUCGGAGGGGAGAGAGACUGGGGGAGACGGAGGUGGGGUGGCAGCUGCCCCCACCCCCAAAGCCUGGAGAGGGCAGCAGCUGCGGCAGCCUGUGGGAAGUCAGGCUCUGAGCACCCUGGAGGUGAGUUUUCGGGACACCUGCUCAGAGCCGAGGAGCCUCAGGAGGAUGAGUGCUGCCUAGACAGGCGGCGGGGAGCCUGGGACUUGGCCGGCCUGAAGGCACAGCGCGCUGUGCCCCCAGAGCCCCGGGUGGCAACUGGGGACGAGAUGGCCCCAGGCUUCUGUGGGUGCGGGGGCCGGAAGGCACCCCAGUCCAGCUGCUCCGCACAAGGUGGGCGUGCCCGCUGGGCCUCCGGUCUCAGGCUGCACCCACUGCCUCUGCAGGAACGUCCUCCACAAGCUGGGUCUCAGCGUCUCGGAGGAAGAGAUCCGAAAGGUGGUCGUCAACACCCCUGGGGCCGUCGAGCCCAUCCUGAGUGCAGGGAGGGACAAGGUGGAGGCCAGCGAGGACCCGCCCGGCAUGGCUGCACAUGUGGCUACUGCCGCGUGGCCGUGGCCUCUGCUCUGUUGGGACACGGCUCGUUGCCUGACAAUGAGAGUAAAACCAGCAAGCCUGCUGAGCCCCUCGGCGUGCUCUGGGGCGGAGACCCAUUGGAGUCAGAGGGCUCCAGAGAAGAUGGGCCAUUGUGCACACAGAGGGUGGGCUCCAGAUCGAACCCUCUGCACCGCCCCCACUGGCCGCCCGCCCGCCCGUUAAAGGCCCGCCUGCCGCUAAAGGCCCGUGCCUGCCUUUCAGUUGCCCAGCCAGGGAGCCCUGGCGCCGCCUGGACCCUGGGCUGCUGCAGUGGCUGCUGGAGGAGAAAGAGCGGGCGCUGGCAGUCCUCCAGGAGACGGUCAAGGUUCUGCAGAUGA
rnacentral:lncRNA from 1 species